rnacentral:rRNA from 1 species
UACGUAGGGUGCAAGCGUUAAUCGGAAUUACUGGGCGUAAAGCGUGCGCAGGCGGUGAUGUAAGACAGAUGUGAAAUCCCCGGGCUCAACCUGGGAACUGCAUUUGUGACUGCAUCGCUGGAGUGCGGCAGAGGGGAUGGAAUUCCGCGUGUAGCAGUGAAAUGCGUAGAUAUGCGGAGGAACACCGAUGGCGAAGGCAAUCCCUGGGCCUGCACUGACGCUCAUGCACGAAAGCGUGGGAGCAAACAGG